GUUUGCGCGAUGAAUAGAUAAGUAAAUUAGUGUUGACUUAAGAGAGGCUCUGGCUGGUGUGAAGGGCUAGUUACAACUAAUUGAAAAUGGUCUAGGAGCGCUUGGAUGCGAAAGGAUAAACUGAGCAUCCACGUCUAGUUAACGAUAGCAAACUGCCACAUGUUGGUGUGGCUAAGAGGCAUUAAUUUGCAAAAAUAAGGUGGUACCGCGUAGAGACGCCCUUAUA
rnacentral:ncRNA from 1 species